AAAAUUGCAAUCUGGUAAAAUAUUUAUUUUAAUUAUAUAUUUAAAUUAGCGAUGUGCCGCAGGUUUUUUUUACGGGACAGUUUUGGCGGGACGGGUUUGGCAGGACGUUACUUAAUAACAAUUGUAAACUAUAAAAUAAAAAUAUUUUAUAGAUAGAUAUUAUUUACAAACUUUUAUAUAUACUAAUUUUAAA
rnacentral:sRNA from 1 species